AGACAGCAGCCAGUGCUCCCGUGUGUUCUUAUUUCAUCAUCACAUUUUUCUCUUUACUAAGGCCUCCCAUAAAUUUUCCCUUUCUUUUUCUCGUGGUCUCUCUCCGCUGUAGCGGAGCACCUCGGGUCUCCAAGACAUUUUCAAAAAUUAGAGACUUAAACAAAAGGAAGAGAAGAAGGAAGAGAAAGAGAAAGGAGAGGAGGGAAAAGAAGAGAAAAAGAAAGAAGGAGAAGAAACAGCAAUAGAAGAAGAAGAAGACAUCAUAAUCCUUGAAGUUGACCCUGACGAUCUAAUCGAUCUCUACCACGAAUUGUGAUUGUUCUUCUGUAAUAAACAUAAAACUAAAAAUC